rnacentral:rRNA from 1 species
UGUCUAUCGAGUUUCGGCGUGUAAGUUGUGUUUCUAUCGAGUUUCUGACCUAUCAGCUUUUGAUGUUAGGGUAUUGGCCUAACAUGGCUAUGACGGGUAACGGGGAAUUAGAGUUCGAUUCCGGAGAGGGAGCCUGAGAAAUAGCUACCACAUCUAAGGAAGGCAGCAGGCGCGUAAAUUACCCAAUUCUAAAGAAGAGAGGUAGUGACAAGAAAUAACAAUACAAGGCCAAUCUGGCUUUGUAAUUGGAAUGAUGGGAAUUUAAAACCUUCCCAAAACUCAAUUGGAGGGCAAGUCUGGUGCCAGCAGCCGCGGUAAUUCCAGCUCCAAUAGCGUAUAUUAAAAUUGUUGCAGUUAAAACGCUCGUAGUUGAAUUUCAAAGAAUCGAUAUUUUAAGCAACGCUUCUAGCUUAAUCCACAUAACUGAUACUU